AAAUUGAAGAGUUUGAUCAUGGCUCAGAUUGAACGCUGGCGGCAGGCCUAACACAUGCAAGUCGAACGGUAGCACAGAGAGCUUGCUCUCGGGUGACGAGUGGCGGACGGGUGAGUAAUGUCUGGGAAACUGCCUGAUGGAGGGGGAUAACUACUGGAAACGGUGGCUAAUACCGCAUAACGUCGCAAGACCAAAGAGGGGGACCUUCGGGCCUCUUGCCAUCAGAUGUGCCCAGAUGGGAUUAGCUGGUUGGUGAGGUAACGGCUCACCAAGGCGACGAUCCCUAGCUGGUCUGAGAGGAUGACCAGCCACACUGGAACUGAGACACGGUCCAGACUCCUACGGGAGGCAGCAGUGGGGAAUAUUGCACAAUGGGCGCAAGCCUGAUGCAGCCAUGCCGCGUGUAUGAAGAAGGCCUUCGGGUUGUAAAGUACUUUCAGCGGGGAGGAAGGUGUUGUGGUUAAUAACCGCAGCAAUUGACGUUACCCGCAGAAGAAGCACCGGCUAACUCCGUGCCAGCAGCCGCGGUAAUACGGAGGGUGCAAGCGUUAAUCGGAAUUACUGGGCGUAAAGCGCACGCAGGCGGUCUGUCAAGUCGGAUGUGAAAUCCCCGGGCUCAACCUGGGAACUGCAUUCGAAACUGGCAGGCUUGAGUCUUGUAGAGGGGGGUAGAAUUCCAGGUGUAGCGGUGAAAUGCGUAGAGAUCUGGAGGAAUACCGGUGGCGAAGGCGGCCCCCUGGACAAAGACUGACGCUCAGGUGCGAAAGCGUGGGGAGCAAACAGGAUUAGAUACCCUGGUAGUCCACGCCGUAAACGAUGUCUACUUGGAGGUUGUGCCCUUGAGGCGUGGCUUCCGGAGCUAACGCGUUAAGUAGACCGCCUGGGGAGUACGGCCGCAAGGUUAAAACUCAAAUGAAUUGACGGGGGCCCGCACAAGCGGUGGAGCAUGUGGUUUAAUUCGAUGCAACGCGAAGAACCUUACCUGGUCUUGACAUCCACAGAACUUUCCAGAGAUGGAUUGGUGCCUUCGGGAACUGUGAGACAGGUGCUGCAUGGCUGUCGUCAGCUCGUGUUGUGAAAUGUUGGGUUAAGUCCCGCAACGAGCGCAACCCUUAUCCUUUGUUGCCAGCGGUCCGGCCGGGAACUCAAAGGAGACUGCCAGUGAUAAACUGGAGGAAGGUGGGGAUGACGUCAAGUCAUCAUGGCCCUUACGACCAGGGCUACACACGUGCUACAAUGGCGCAUACAAAGAGAAGCGACCUCGCGAGAGCAAGCGGACCUCAUAAAGUGCGUCGUAGUCCGGAUUGGAGUCUGCAACUCGACUCCAUGAAGUCGGAAUCGCUAGUAAUCGUGGAUCAGAAUGCCACGGUGAAUACGUUCCCGGGCCUUGUACACACCGCCCGUCACACCAUGGGAGUGGGUUGCAAAAGAAGUAGGUAGCUUAACCUUCGGGAGGGCGCUUACCACUUUGUGAUUCAUGACUGGGGUGAAGUCGUAACAAGGUAACCGUAGGGGAACCUGCGGUUGGAUCACCUCCUUACCUUAAAGAA
rnacentral:rRNA from 1 species